AUCGAGGCUGCGUGAGGGAUAGAAGUGGAAAUCCUUUAUUAUUUUUUAUUUAAAAUAAUAAAGAUUGCAACGUAUAGCCCGACCGAAG
rnacentral:sRNA from 1 species